AUAUAUUUAUUUAUUUAUUUAUUUAUUUUCGAUACUGCCAGUCUCAUACGAGACCAAAGCAGAAGGGCAUCAGUUCUUGGAUACACAAUACAGUUUUCAGUUUCACGUUUAUACAGCGGCAUAUUUGUCAGAACGUGUAAGAAUGGUUGGAGGCAGAAAUGCCUGUAGGGGUCUCGAGGCAAAAUUCAAUAAGUACAUUCUGAAAAAAUGGCGUUAAUUGUAUACAAACACUGAGCAAUCGGUACAUACUUAAAGACGGCAUAGAAGACAGCUCUUAUCUAGUAGACAAUACAACUCUAGUUGUACACAAACACAAGAGCACUGGGAACAAUACACCAGAAAAAUACACACUUAGGUAUCUUUGAACCAGUUACUGCACCCAGCAAAACAAAAUUGUUUACGCGCAAUUGAACGCGAACAUUUAUUCCACAAAAAUAACCGCUAGAAAAAACGAUAAUACGGCUCAUCAAAAGAGAAAAAGAUAACUGGAAAAUUAUUUGCAGAACAUGUCCUCGAUUUUUGAGGUGAACUCUGACAAUGAUUGUAUACUGGUAAUCGAGGAAUCUAGACUAUUCCAUUCUCUUAUUGACAGGGGAAAGAAUGAAUGCUUGAAGCAAUCGUUGUACAAG